rnacentral:rRNA from 1 species
UCCUACGGGAGGCAGCAGUGGGGAAUAUUGCGCAAUGGGCGAAAGCCUGACGCAGCGACGCCGCGUGAGGGAUGAAGGCCUUCGGGUCGUAAACCUCUGUCAGGAGGGAAGAACCGCCAUGGUGCUAAUCAGCCAUGGUCUGACGGUACCUCCAAAGGAAGCACCGGCUAACUCCGUGCCAGCAGCCGCGGUAAUACGGAGGGUGCAAGCGUUAAUCGGAAUCACUGGGCGUAAAGCGCGCGUAGGCGGCUUUUUAAGUCAGAGGUGAAAUCCCACGGCUCACCCGUGGAACUGCCUUUGAUACUGGAGGGCUUGAGUGUGUGAGAGGAUAGUGGAAUUCCUGGUGUAGGAGUGAAAUCCGUAGAGAUCAGGAGGAACAUCAGUGGCGAAGGCGACUAUCUGGCACAAUACUGACGCUGAGGUGCGAAAGCGUGGGUAUCAAACAGGAUUAGAUACCCUGGUAGUCCACGCUGUAAACGAUGGAUACUAGGUGCUGGGGGCUCGACUCUCGGUGCCGUGGCUAACGCGUUAAGUAUCCCGCCUGGGGAGUACGGUCCUAGCUGAACUCAAAGGAAUUGACGG